rnacentral:tRNA from 1 species
GCUAGGAUGGCAGAGCUCGGCAACUGCAAAAGACUUAAACCCUUUAUCCAGAGGUUCAAAUCCUCUUCCUAGCU